UACGUAGGGGGCAAGCGUUGUCCGGAUUUAUUGGGCGUAAAGAGCGUGUAGGCGGCCUUACAGGUCAGCUGUGAAAACUCGAGGCUCAACCUCGAGACGUCGAUGGAAACCGUCGGGCUAGAGUCCGGAAGAGGAGAGUGGAAUUCCUGGUGUAGCGGUGAAAUGCGCAGAUAUCAGGAAGAACACCUAUGGCGAAGGCAGCUCUCUGGGACGGUACUGACGCUGAGACGCGAAAGCGUGGGGAGCGAACAGG
rnacentral:rRNA from 1 species